rnacentral:rRNA from 1 species
GUGCAGCAGGCGCGAAACCUCCGCAAUGCACGCAAGUGCGACGGGGGGACCCCAAGUGCCACUCUUAACGGGGUGGCUCUUCAGGAGUGUAAAAAGCUCCUGGAAUAAGGGCUGGGCAAGACCGGUGCCAGCCGCCGCGGUAACACCGGCAGCUCGAGUGGUAGCCGCGUUUAUUGGGCCUAAAGCGUCCGUAGCCGGUCCGAUAAGUCUCUGGUGAAAGCCCACAGCUCAACUGUGGGAAUCGCUGGAGAUACUAUCGGACUUGAGGCCGGGAGAGGCUGGAGGUACUCCCAGGGUAGGGGUGAAAUCCUAUAAUCCUGGGAGGACCACCUGUGGCGAAGGCGUCCAGCUGGAACGGACCUGACGGUGAGGGACGAAAGCCAGGGGCGCGAACCGGAUUAGAUACCCUAGUAGUCC